AAAUAAAUCCAUUUAUAUUUAUAUUGGAAUGUAGGUUACUGUUGUAAUGACCUGCUGUAACUAAUAUAAGUUAUAUUUAUGAAGCAUAAGCAACACAUCCAGAAGGCAAAGUUGUGCAGCUGUGGAGCUUUUGGCCUCACAGUUCCGAGGACCCGGGUUCAAUCCCGGCCCCGCCUGUGUGGAGUGUGCAUGUUCCCCCCCCCGUGCCUGCGUGGGUUUUUUCCGGGUGGUCAUUCCGGUUUCCUCCCACAUCCCAAAAACAUGCAAUAUUAAUUGGACACUUUAAAUUGCCCCAAGGUGUGAUUGUGAGUGCGGCUGUUUGUCUGUCUCUAUGUGCCCUGCGGUUGCCUGGCAACCGGUUCAGGGUGCGUCCCGCCUCCUGCCCGUUGACAGCUUGGAUAGGUUCCGGCACUCGACCCUCGUGAGGAUAAGCGGCCCGGGAAAUGGACGCCACAUCCAAGAAAGCACUCCGUCGCGCGUUCAUCUCCAGCCCGCGACUGACAAGAAUUUUAAAGAUGGCUUUGUGGAGGAUCAGCGGCGGCUCGCCUCUCAGACGGCCGUUGAAAUCACGGACAUGCAGCACAAAAGAUAAGCAAGUUGUGUGCAGAACUACUCACCAAACUCUCCAUGGCAACACCACCGCAACUUUCACCCAAUGAAAAAUUGCAUCAAGCCUGGUCGCUGUCACCCCCCC